ensembl:lncRNA
AUUAGGAGUAUUUAAUGUUUCACUUCAUGGACACACACUUAAUUUGAAAACCCUAGAUAAAACAUGCAGUAAAAUGGGGAGAAAGAAGUGGUUUCCUGGAUACUUAAUGAUGAAACAUGGGAUGCUCAUGAUAAGCAAAAAUUAAAAAUGACUUUUCAGUCCUUUGAAAUUCUAUCUAAUGUAUAAUGGCUGGAGAGCUUGGCUCUGUCUAAAAAGUCACCAGCACCUGAAUUAUAAAUAAAAAAAAUUAGAAAUAAUUUAAUUUACUUUCAAAUAAUAAAUAAUCUUUGAAGGAAAAAAGAAACCCUUACAGCAAUUUAUUUUUUUUUAAUGAAAGGGGGUAUUUGUAGUUACUUUAGCAUCCACCUUUUUUCUGUAAAAGGGGAAUUAAACUAUUACAGGACACCUUGUUAAGUAAUUAUACAGCAGCAUCACAGUGCAAUUAAAUAGCCAUCAGUCCCCGCAGCUGAGAAAUUCCAGGUAAUUAUUCAAAGAUAAUUUAAUAGGAGAAUUACUGUAUUCAAGCAAGGAUUAGCAAGUAAUCUACCUCAAUUAAAGCAUCCAAUUAAUUUCAGAGCCUCGAUAACAGUUGCCUUUGGCAAAAUGAUCCUUCCCUUCAUUUGAUCCUGCAUAGGCAAUAUUCCUUAAACACUGUGUAAAAUUAAUUUACUUCUUCUAAAAGUACAGUCUAUUAAUAGCAGCCUCCUGAGAAAUUAAACAGAUGCAAGAGUAACAACGGCGUCUUCCCGCCUGCUUGCUUGUGCCUUUUCCCCCCCAGUCUUCUGUGCAGAAACAAAACACAGCCAACUCGGACCUGUUAGUCCCAGCGUGCAUCACCAAGUGCAGGAAAACCUGCCAGUGAUGGAGAGUUCCUGAAGACAAUUUUGUUGCUGGACUGAUUAACUCAGCGGACAGACUGUCUGUGGGAACUCUGUCUCUGGGAAUCUGAUGGUCAUGUGGCCGGGAUGACGACUGGGCAAGUAUGGAGACUUUAGUGGGUGGGGUUUCCUCCGUUGAGUUUCUUUCAGAUUGCUGCAGAAAGCCCUCAGCAUUGGGACACAAAGAGAGGUUUGGAUGCUCUGGGAGGACCUUUCACUGUCUCAAACUGUCUCUUAACAGCAGCCUUUCAGUUCUGCCUCACUCACGGUUUCUCUGGGUUCUUUGUCAUGGCAGGACAAGUGACUACUACAACUUCCCCUCGUCCACCUUGCCUCCAGCUCUGUCUACACCUAGCUCUUUUGUUAAUGACAGAAUCAUUUCUAAGGUCACUCAUAUGGGGACUCAACCACAGCUGAGAGGUGGUUGCGAUGUCUCGUGUGUCUGUGGAGAGCAACUUGACCAGCUCACGGGUGUCGGGCUCACAUUCAAAGAAAGCUCAACCUUUUGUAACAACACAAGCUGUAAUGCCAGCACCAGGGGACGGAGGCAAGAAGACAAGGCAAGCUUCAGGCCAGCCUGGCCUACCAAAACCAAGAACCAAAAAACCUAACCCAAUUCGUAAAAUCAAAUCAGAUUCAAUCAAGUUACUUAGCAUAUCCAGUACCGGCCUCACCCACCAGCACCACAGGCACCAUUGCUAAGUGUCUGAGCUGACCAGUGCUAAUCACACUGAGCCUUACAGUCUCCACCCAUCUUUAUCCUAAAUGGCAAGUCUGACCCAUUCAGCAGCAGGUUUUCAUUCUCACCCCUUCCCUGAUAACCUUGGCUCUCCUCCCACUCUCUGUGACUCGUCUGUCCUACCUACCUCAUGGGAGUGGAGUCAUACAGGGUUUCUUCCUUUGCAGUUGGCUUAUUUUACUGAGCAAAGUGCUUUUAAAGAUUCACCCAUAGAGUACCAGGGGUCAGAAUGCUACUCCUCUUAUGGCUAAGUAAUAUUCCACUGCAUCUCACGCUGUGUGUUAUUCACUCAUUCGUCGGCGGAUACUUGGGUUAUGUAGUAUUGACUACUGUGCCUUUCAAUUAAAGAAAAAAACAAUCUGUUUAAGCUUGAUUUUCAGUUCUUGUGGUGGGGAAGGGAUAAGUACCAGGGCCUUGAGCAUGCUCUGCAAAUGCUCGCUCCACCACGAAGGUCC